AAGAUCGCUGGAUUUCCAUGGAAACAAAAGACUUCGCUGGAAAUCCAACGAAAAACUUCCAGUGAUCUUAAAGUUCGCUGGAAGUUUACUGGGUUUCUUGCGAAAUAUUUCGCGGUGAUGUAAAAAGCGUUGCUGUUACAACUUCUGCAAGCAGUUAAAACUUGGAAAAUUGAUAAUAUAGCUUCUUAAAAUAAUAUUUCAAAUUUUUGUAUAAAAGUAAUCCUUUUUAUUUUAUUUUUUGCAUCUAGUAGAUGAUCUAUAGUGUGAGUUUCAAUUAUUAUUAGUUCUACUCAAGUUACAAAACAAAAUCAUCUGAAGACACUGUACUGUUGUAAAUAAUCUUUUAUCUGCAAUCAGUGUGCCAAGCAAUAUAAGACAGACUCGAUGAUCAUUAAGUUGUAUAAAGCAUUGGAAAGGAUAAAAGUGAUAAAAUGCUAUUGGUUGGAAAUUGAUAAAUUAAUAAAAAAUGAUUGAUUCUAAUUGCGCGAAAAUAUGUUGCUCUAAAGACCCAAACCGAAAAGAAUGCCUAAAGUGGUUUUCAAAAGAUGAAUUGACGAAUUUCUUAAUUCUUUUUGUUUCGUUGUGAUAAUUUGUCGUAUGAGGACGCUAACGAGAAAAAACUUUUUAAAUAUAGAAACAUGCGUAAUAUAAAGUUUACUUAUGCCUAUAAAAAAAUAUGUUUUACAUUAAUUAAUAAAUUAACUUUUUAGUUUCUUGUUAUAAAUUGUAUUCUGUAUUGAAGUUUAUUUCUGAGAAUUUGUAAUUAUACCUAAGAUAAUCUAAUCCUACAUUGUAUUUUAAUUUAUAAAACUCGAUAUUUUAAAAUAAAUAUAUUACUUUUUUAUCG
rnacentral:lncRNA from 1 species